CAGCCGCCGCGGGAAUACGUAGGGUGCGAGCGUUAAUCGGAAUUACUGGGCGUAAAGCGUGCGCAGGCGGUUAUAUAAGACAGAUGGGAAAUCCCCGGGCUCAACCUGGGACCUGCAUUUGUGACUGUAUAGCUAGAGUACGGUAGAGGGGGAUGGAAUUCCGCGUGUAGCAGUGAAAUGCGUAGAUAUGCGGAGGAACACCGAUGGCGAAGGCAAUCCCCUGGACCUGUACUGACGCUCAUGCACGAGAGCGUGGGGAGUAAACAGGAUUAGAUACCCGGGUAGUCCCUGUCUCUUAUAU
rnacentral:rRNA from 1 species